UAGGCUCAUCAGUAACCUCUUCAGUUCUCCAAGACAAUAUCCUAUUGUUAAAGGUAGGAAUUUGACCAUACUGAGCUGAGGCCAUGAAUGGAUGGCAGAUGAAAAUUGCCUUUCUCAACUCUCACAAAUUUUAACUACUUUCCAUUUACCCCACUGAUAAGUUGGGCUCCAUUUUAGAAGUCCCACUGACUACAGGGAGAUUAUGAACAAUAGACCAGCAAUCAGUGGCUCCAUGUGGGAAGACAAGCUUUUGACAGUUUUUACGAUGUUAGAAAAUCUCCUGCUGCCUGUUUUAACAUGAAGGACAGGGAACUAUAAGGAUUAUCAGCCUGAAUUGAAAUACAGAGAUUUUUUUGAACACUCUAGGCAGAAAGAAUCCAGUUGUAUAAACCAGUUGGAGUUUUCAACAUUCUGCAAGCAAUUAUCAAUGAGUCCAUGUCUUCUGCAUCAGAAGUAACUGUGUGUGUGAAAAAACAAGCAGAUUACAUUUGUUGCACUGCAUCGGUGAUUUAGUCUCUGUCCUUACUCUGAAGUGUCAGGAUCCUCCAGUGAUUAAUGCAACUUCCUUUUAGUCCAGCUGUUCUCAUUGUGGAGGGAAUCUGAAGUGAAUAGUCUAUUUGAAGAGCCUAUGGAGAUAGCUGACAGCUGAUAAAGCCAGCUUUUGGGAAUAUUCUACCUUAUGACAGGGACUGUGCCACUUGAUGGUAAGCCUGAAGAAUGACAGGUGCUCUUUUCUCCCUUGUCCCCAGAUUCUUAUUAGCAUUUUUCAAGCAUAUGGAGGGCAUUUUACAAGGAUGCAAAGUCCUUAGUGAAUAUGUUAUACUGAUUCUAUUAAAGUGAAAGGUGAUAGUCCCAAGUAAACUAUCCCAUUACUUCAGAGAACUGACCUUUAAGCAAGAACUGCAGUUAUCUGACAAAAUUAAAGGAAAAUAAAAAUA